ensembl:lncRNA
ACAUGGUCCAAAUGAACCAGUUGAGGAACAUAGUAUCUUCAACUGGUAACGACGCUGAGAUCUGGAUCGGUCUGUACGCUAAAAUUGCCUGGAUGUGGUCAGAUAGGACCACAGGACGUGGGGCUGAAUAUAGGAACUGGGAAAAUAAUACUAAUGAACCAGAUUUUUAUGGAGCCAGAGAAACAUGCGUCUCCAUUGGAGAAGAUGGAGGAUGGCAGGAUGAGAUAUGGAUACAAGAAUAUCCAUUUAUCUGUAAUAAUGGAACACAGCUAGAGCCUGAAUUUGUUCUUGUUGAUGAAGCAAUGGAUUGGGGGAGUGCUCAGGCUUGCUGCAGCCAGAACUUCACAAGCCUGGUCACUGUGAAGAACGACAUAGAGAACCAGAUGGUCCAGAGCUUUGGUGCCAAGUGGCGAUCGGGCAUGGAUUGGUUUAAGCAGGCCUAAUUGGUUUUUUUGGUCCGAUCAGAGCAGAUUCAACUUUGGCUAUUUUGACAACGUUGCAAACCCGAUUGACUCAAUGAAAGUCAUGUGUGGUGUUUUGGCUUUGAAAAGUUCAGGAAAAUUUAGGUUUUUGUCCUGUGAAACAAGCUUACCCUUUGUCUGCUACAACUUCCCUCCACCCGGUGAGUUUCCUUACCUUCAGUGGAAGAGACUGCAUUACAUUGGGGAAACUCAUGUUUAAUGCUCAUUUAUUAACUUUCACAUUUCUAGUAUGUCAGAAUAAAAUUCCAGGCAUGUUAAAUUCCUCUCCCCAUUCCAUACUAGUAAAACAGCAGAUAAUUAAGCUGAGACUGAAUCCUGGGUCCUCUGCUCUGGAUUUGAAUGAUCCUAUUGUGAAAUCAGAAAUCCUUGAAAAAGGUAAGUCCUGAGUUUAAAUAGUUCCUUUUUUCAGCCUGAUCUCAGGCCAAUUAAGAACAAUGUUUAAUUAAAAAACAAAACAAAUAUAUUUAAAUUUGAGAAAAUGUUCUAAAUGGCUGCUGUUUGUGUCUCCC